rnacentral:lncRNA from 1 species
UUGAAUUGAAUUUGAAAUAAAAUUAAAGAAAAAAAAACAAAAAUAAAACAAAGCUGAGGGCCAAAAUACGACACGCGGAUAACAUGAGGGCCAAAUGGGAAAUAUUCCCUUCCCUCAAAACGCAGCGCCUUGACAUGGACCAAAUUGGAACACAUUUCCAAUGUGGAGGGACCAGAGGGACAAAUAACCCAUUUAACAAAAAACGCGCGGAUCCUCCAUGGAGCAGGUCGGGUUGCGCGUGGGUCAUUGGGUUUGAAUGAUACGACACCGUUUUGACACCAUUGUAAUAAGGCUCAAACGGUGUCGUUUCAUGUUUUAUAAACUAAAAAAAAUGAAUAAAUACAUAAACCUAAAAAACCCUAAAACAUUUGAUUCAUCAUUUCCCUUUUAUAGAGAAACCCAGGUACUGCGCCGUUCUUGCGUCUACGACCUCCACCCAGGCUCCGAUUGCGACGGAGAGGGUCAGAGAUCCGACGGCUUCCAACGACAAGGUACGACUCCUUCAUUUUCUCCCUUUUUUGUUGUUUCGCUUAUAGAGAAAAAAAACAGAAAAUUAAAAGAAACAGAGAAAGGAAAAGAAAAACAAAGAAAGAAAAUAAAACUGCCAAUCACCUCUCAAAUCUUUUUUUGAUUUCUCUGCCUCUGAAUAUUUUUUUUCUUGUAUUCAAUUUGUGAAAAAAAAGGAUCCGUUUACAGUGCUUGUAUUGCCUUUUUUUAGCCGAAUGAGAAAAAUAAUAAUAUUUCUUUUUUGCUAUUUCUCUUUUUCUACAUUUUUCCUAUAUUUUUUUGCUAGUAUUUCCUGUCGAUUUCUGCUAUUCUUUGUGUCCGUCUUUUGUUGCUUUGUGUGUUGCAGGCGUACGGAGGCCGUACGGUGACGCGUGUGAGGAGUGGCUCGAAGGUGUGGUGGCGCACGCAUGAGAGGGGAGCGUACUGGUUGCGGCGCUGGUGCUAGGGUUUCUGAUCCUCUUUGGGGUGUUAGGCCGUAUGAUUGUUGGGCUGGGUGUAGUUGGGCUAGGUGAAUUGGGUUAGAUUUUGGGUUUGAAAUUUUUGGUUAUUGGGCUAGGUGCAAUUGGGCCAUUCGGGUUUAGCAUUCUGGGCAUAUGCAUUUGGGCCUACUUGGAUUUAGGCCUGCUAAUGUAAAGAACUGGACUAUGUUAUUGGUUUUUUUUGUUG